AUGGCGAAACCUCCGCGCCACACCCUGACCAUGCCGUCCGCCCACCCUCGCGGGAUCCCGAAACGCGCGCUCCCGCGACUCGGUGCGGCACUCUUUUUUGUAACCCUCGUCGGCGUCGCCCUGCCCUUGGCCGUGCUGCACCGUGCCGCCGUCUCGCGGCACCCGCUGGAGGACCCGUGGGGGCGGUACCCGCUUCCCUCGCUCGCCGCAGACGACGAGGAGAGCGCCCAAGGUGAUGAUCUGGACAGUGAGGAUCUCAAACUUGACCGAGUUUUGCAGAAGGCUUCAAUGAGGGACAACACAGUUAUAUUGACUACACUUAAUGCUGCAUGGGCUUCUCCUGGCUCGGUGAUAGAUCUAUUUGUUGAUAGUUUUCGCUCUGGUGUUAGAACAAGUUCACUCUUGAACCAUCUAGUCAUUAUAGCAUUUGAUGGGGAUGCGUACAGACAAUGUGUCAAGAUCCACCACUAUUGCUUUGCUCUUGGAACUGAAGGUGUGGAUUUUUCUGAAGAGAAGAGGUUCUUGACUUCUGGGUAUCUGGAGAUGAUGUGGAAACGACUAGAUUUCUUGCGGCUGGUUCUUGAAAAGGGCUACAGCUUCAUAUUCUCGGAUGCAGACAUAAUGUGGUUUCGCAAUCCAUUUCCUCACUUCUAUCCUAAUGGUGACCUUCAGAUUGCUUGCGACCACUAUGUUGUGAAUGCAACAGACUUGAGAAACAUUGCUAAUGGAGGCUUCAAUUAUGUGAAAUCGAAUGAACGGACCAUAGAGUUCUACAGUUUCUGGUACUCAUCACGAUUGAGAUAUCCUGGCUACCAUGAUCAGGAUGUCUUCAAUGCUAUUAAGCAUGAUCCAUAUGUCGCAGACAUUGGGCUGGAAAUUAAGUUUUUAAGUACAGCAUACUUUGGCGGAUUUUGUGAACCAAGCAGAGAUUUAAAUAAGGUCUGCACUAUGCACGCUAACUGUUGCAUCGGUUUGCGGAGCAAGAUUCAUGAUCUGAGGAUUAUGAUGGAAGAUUGGAGGAACUAUUUGUCACUGCCUCCAAGCUUGAAAAGAUUGUUGACAUUGUCCUGGAGGGUGCCACAAAAUUGCAGCCUUUCUUCGCUAAACUAA
rnacentral:rRNA from 1 species